rnacentral:ncRNA from 2 species
UCUCCCGGGGGCGGCGCCUGAGCCGCUGAGAUUGGCGUGAUCGCCUGACCGGCCGAACCUGAUCCGGGUCAUGCCGGCGAAGGGAGAGA